UCCAGACUCCUACGGGAGGCAGCAGUGGGGAAUAUUGCACAAUGGGGGAAACCCUGAUGCAGCGACGCCGCGUGAGUGAAGAAGUAUUUCGGUAUGUAAAGCUCUAUCAGCAGGGAAGAUAAUGACGGUACCUGACUAAGAAGCCCCGGCUAACUACGUGCCAGCAGCCGCGGUAAUACGUAGGGGGCAAGCGUUAUCCGGAUUUACUGGGUGUAAAGGGUGCGUAGGUGGCAGGGCAAGUCAGAUGUGAAAGCCCGGGGCUCAACCCCGGUACUGCAUUUGAAACUGUCCAGCUGGAGUGCAGGAGAGGUAAGCGGAAUUCCUAGUGUAGCGGUGAAAUGCGUAGAUAUUAGGAGGGACACCAGUGGCGAAGGCGGCUUACUGGACUGUAACUGACACUGAGGCACGAAAGCGUGGGGAGCAGACAGGAUUAGAUACCCCGGUAAA
rnacentral:rRNA from 1 species